UUUCUAUGCUCGCACGCAGCGCGGAGCAUGGCGUCCCCGGGAGCUGGGGCAUGGGAGGCGGUUGUGGCGUGGGAUCUAGGGUGUCUGCAGCGGACUCGGCGGCCGUGUGAGGCGCUCGGCCCGCCGGACCCCGCCUGAAGCGGGUCGGUGUGGAAACCGAGCGCCGUUUGGAUGUAGAUCUUCGCCGUAGGCCCAGAACUGGGCGGGAAUAAAGCGAAGACCCAGGUCACACGGUGAGUACCUGAAGCUUACGGAUAUUUCCUGAACGACACGUGGGAGCACAGAGUGGGUUAAAGGGUGUCCUUGAUGAUUUGGAAAUUUGAUCUACAGAAGCACGAGUGAUUUAAAUUUUCUAGGGGCCGUGUCAAAACUCCAUAGAUGAAUGCUCAUUUGUAACAAGACUAUGAAUAAAUGCUUCGAUGUGCUGUUC
rnacentral:lncRNA from 1 species